GAAGGUAUAGCUCAAGUGGUAGAGCACAUGCUUAGCAUGCACAAGGUCCUGGGUGUUCAAUCCCCAGUACCUCCU
rnacentral:tRNA from 1 species